rnacentral:misc_RNA from 1 species
UCCUGGUUCCCCAGGCAGUCUCGCUAGAGUGCCUCACAAAGAAUGGCAACUAACGACAGGGGUUGCGCUCGUUAAAGGACUUAACCCAACAUCUCACGACACGAGCUGACGACAGCCAUGCAGCACCUGUUCACAUGUUCGAGCAAGCCCGAAAAAUCCCCUUUCAGGAACAGUCAUGUGUAUGUCAAGCCUAGGUAAGGUUCCUCGCGGAGUGUCGAAUUAAACCACAUGUUCCACCGCUUGUGCGGGCCCCCGUCAAUUCCUUUAAGUUUUAAUCUUGCGACCGUACUCCCCAGGCGGAUCACUUAACGCGUUAGCUUCGACACACAGCUCCCGAAGGAGCCGCACAUCUAGUGAUCAUCGUUUACGGCGUGGACUAC